AUGAUCCUUCAUAAACUAAUAUAGUGUUUGUGAUAUGUGGAGAGAAAGUCUUAAAUAUGUAACAUGGUUCAUAUAUAAUCCUUCAUAAACUAAUAUCCUGUUUGUGAUAUGUGGAGAGUU